GAUGAACGCUGGCGGCGUGCUUAACACAUGCAAGUCGAACGGAUCCAUCGGGCUUUGCUUGGUGGUGAGAGUGGCGAACGGGUGAGUAAUGCGUGACCGACCUGCCCCAUACACCGGAAUAGCUCCUGGAAACGGGUGGUAAUGCCGGAUGUUCCAGUUGAUCGCAUGGUCUUCUGGGAAAGCUUUCGCGGUAUGGGAUGGGGUCGCGUCCUAUCAGCUUGACGGCGGGGUAACGGCCCACCGUGGCUUCGACGGGUAGCCGGCCUGAGAGGGCGACCGGCCACAUUGGGACUGAGAUACGGCCCAG
rnacentral:rRNA from 1 species